UAGGGAAUCUUCGGCAAUGGACGGAAGUCUGACCGAGCAACGCCGCGUGAGUGAAGAAGGUUUUCGGAUCGUAAAGCUCUGUUGUAAGAGAAGAACGAGUGUGAGAGUGGAAAGUUCACACUGUGACGGUAUCUUACCAGAAAGGGACGGCUAACUACGUGCCAGCAGCCGCGGUAAUACGUAGGUCCCGAGCGUUGUCCGGAUUUAUUGGGCGUAAAGCGAGCGCAGGCGGUUAGAUAAGUCUGAAGUUAAAGGCUGUGGCUUAACCAUAGUAGGCUUUGGAAACUGUUUAACUUGAGUGCAAGAGGGGAGAGUGGAAUUCCAUGUGUAGCGGUGAAAUGCGUAGAUAUAUGGAGGAACACCGGUGGCGAAGGCGGCUCUCUGGCUUGUAACUGACGCUGAGGCUCGAAAGCGUGGGGAGCAAACAGGAUUAGAUACCCUGGUAGUCCACGCUGUAAACGAUGAGUGCUAGGUGUUAGACCCUUUCCGGGGUUUAGUGCCGUAGCUAACGCAUUAAGCACUCCGCCUGGGGAGUACGACCGCAAGGUUG
rnacentral:rRNA from 1 species